UAGGGAAUCUUCCACAAUGGGCGCAAGCCUGAUGGAGCAACACCGCGUGAGUGAAGAAGGGUUUCGGCUCGUAAAGCUCUGUUGUUAAAGAAGAACACGUAUGAGAUUAACUGUUCAUACGUUGACGGUAUUUAACCAGAAAGUCACGGCUAACUACGUGCCAGCAGCCGCGGUAAUACGUAGGUGGCAAGCGUUAUCCGGAUUUAUUGGGCGUAAAGAGAGUGCAGGCGGUUUUCUAAGUCUGAUGUGAAAGCCUUCGGCUUAACCGGAGAAGUGCAUCGGAAACUGGAUAACUUGAGUGCAGAAGAGGGUAGUGGAACUCCAUGUGUAGCGGUGGAAUGCGUAGAUAUAUGGAAGAACACCAGUGGCGAAGGCGGCUACCUGGUCUGCAACUGACGCUGAGACUCGAAAGCAUGGGUAGCGAACAGG
rnacentral:rRNA from 1 species